AGUGAACGCUGGCGGUAGGCCUAACACAUGCAAGUCGAACGGCAGCACAGUAAGAGCUUGCUCUUACGGGUGGCGAGUGGCGGACGGGUGAGGAAUACAUCGGAAUCUACUUUUUCGUGGGGGAUAACGUAGGGACACUUACGCUACUACCGCAUACGACCUACGGGUGAAAGCAGGGGAUCUUCGCACCUUGCGCGAUUGAAUGAGCCGAUGUCGGAUUAGCUAGUUGGCGGGGUAAAGGCCCACCAAGGCGACGAUGCGUAGCUGGUCUGAGAGGAUGAUCGGCCACACUGGAACUGAGACACGGUCCAGACUCCUACGGGAGGCAGCAGUAGGGAAUAUUGGACAAUGGGCGCAAGCCUGAUCCAGCAACACCGCGUGAGUGAAGAAGGCCUUCGGGUUGUAAAGCCCUGUUGUUAGGAAAGAAAAGCAGCGGGUUAAUACCCGGCUGUUCUGACGGUACCUAAAGAAUAAGCACCGGCUAACUUCGUG
rnacentral:rRNA from 1 species